rnacentral:rRNA from 1 species
CUCAGUAACACGUGGAUAACCUGCCCUUAGGACUGGCAUAACCCCGGGAAACUGGGGAUAAUUCCGGAUAGUUCAUGGUAGCUGGAAUGCUCCAUGAUCGAAAGCUAUUGCGCCUAAGGAUGGGUCUGCGGUCUAUCAGGUAGUAGUGGGUGUAAUGUACCUACUAGCCGACGACGGAUACGGGUUGUGGGAGCAAGAGCCCGGAGAUGGAUUCUGAGACAUGAAUCCAGGCCCUACGGGGCGCAGCAGGCGCGAAAACUUUACAAUGCGGGAAACCGCGAUAAGGGGACACCGAGUGCCAGCAUCUUAUGUUGGCUGUCCGCAUGUAUAAAUCACAUGUGUUAGCAAGGGCCGGGCAAGACCGGUGCCAGCCGCCGCGGUAACACCGGCGGCCCGAGUGGUGGCCACUAUUAUUGGGUCUAAAGGGUCCGUAGCCGGUUUGGUCAGUCUUCCGGGAAAUCUGACGGCUUAACCGUUAGGCUUUCGGGGGAUACUACCA